rnacentral:lncRNA from 7 species
UAUAAUAAUUCAAAAAUGAAAUAGAACUCAUGUUCUACCUCGAGUGUAUAAGUUUGAUAACAUCAUAAGUUAUUUUUUUUACUAUAUAGUAUUGAUAAACGUCUCUUGUGUCCUUGCUUUCUCAUUACGUAUCCGUGGACAAAAGAAUAAAACAUUCUGAGACUUGCCAUACGUACGUACGUGUGGUCGGCAUGUCGACGUUGCGGCUUGGCGAACAAACAGGAGCACCGGGGCAGAGUAGUUUGCCACUUUCCAUCAGGCCACGCGGACGAUUUCCACGCUAGCGCACAACUGCACAAGCAGUAUACUGUACGUGUACUAGGAGAUAGCUUUGCAGUCGUGCAGGCAAAGGCAACCGCUGCACGGAUCCGCCGUAGUGCCCUACCGGGCCACUGACGUCACCUCCCGCCUCGUGCCCCGUGCGGG